rnacentral:rRNA from 1 species
UACGUAGGGGGCGAGCGUUGUCCGGAAUCAUUGGGCGUAAAGCGCGUGUAGGCGGCCCGGUAAGUCCGCUCUGAAAGUCGGGGGCUCAACCCUCGGAUGCGGGUGGAUACUGUCGGGCUUGAGUGCGGAAGAGGCGAGUGGAAUUCCUGGUGUAGCGGUGAAAUGCGCAGAUAUCAGGAGGAACACCAAUUGCGAAGGCAGCUCGCUGGGACGUUACUGACGCUGAGACGCGAAAGCGUGGGGAGCAAACAGG